rnacentral:piRNA from 1 species
AUGGAUCAUAGGGCUCCCAAUGGA